GUUCAGUCCUCAUGGUUGUGCACCAUUGCUUGAGCCACAUUCACUGUAGAAAUGCAAGCAGGAGACGGUGGACUGGCUUGGACUGUGGCGUCCUCCAUAAAGCGAGGAAGAGUGAGAGGGGGAAAAGUUGAGAGUGUAACAUGGAAGUGAUUCUAUGGCGUGAUCCUAACACUUAAGCUAGGUAGUUCAGGAAAGGGGCUCACUGAGGACCUAGGACCAAGAGAUUUAGGACCUGGUGAAGCUGAAAGAUGCUAGGAACCGGCUGCCAAAGGGACCGGAAAGCGGUGGAAGGGAGUAUGCUGUGUGAUGCUGAUGUAACAGAGGAUCCUCGCUGGCGGGGGUGAGGACGCUGGGAGAACGUGAGCAUCGAGUGGUGGAACAGACCAGCAGAGAAAAGCGACAGGGAAGGGAACAGGCUUGCAUCCUGUACCAAGUACAACAAUGAUCUUGAAGAUGGGGACCAGGAGACAGUAUUUUUCAAAAGGAUCCGAAGUGCCUGCUGCUUUGUUACUCCAGCCAGAACAAAACAAGAAGAGUCUAAGGGCUGUCUCUCUCCUUGCUUCUAGACCAUCCCACCAAAUGCAAGGUCCCGUCCUUUCUGACAUCUGCUCGAAUCCCUCUCUAUCCUGUAGCAUUCCACGCACCUGUGUCACUGAAACGAGAUAUAGCCACAUCCGUGCCUAUAAGGGGCUCUGUCCAUGUGUAAAUUGAAAAAUCUGAGCUGGCAAUGGA